rnacentral:sRNA from 1 species
UAUUAAAAGAACAAGUGUCUAAAACGCAGCACUGUGAAGGCUUGCUAUGAGAAUAUCAGCGGAUUUAAACGUUCAUAAAACGAUGCAUCCAUUAUUACAAAAUAUUUAUGUAAAGUUAUUUUAUUAUGAUACAAAUGUGGUAUUAAAUGAAACAAUACAAUGAAUGCUACUUUGUAUGACACUGAGUGUGGUCCCCUGAAUUGAUGGUCACGUGAUAUGUGUUGAUAAUUCUUCCCGUUGGAGGUCAUAAACAAAUUUCAAUAUUACAAGGGCAUACCCUUUUUAAAAUUAAAAUUUUAAAUGAUUAUUAAAUUCUACUAUUCUUGUAGAUUCUGAAAAAAUCUGCUGCUUUGUAUAGAGUUCUUCUUUUGCUAGAAUAAAUUUCAAAGAAAUGAGCUCUGGUUGGAAUCUAUAUGAUCUUUGCUUAAUAUUUUACAUAUUUAAUAAUUUAUUCUGUAGAUUUCAUUGAAGCAGAAUCACUUUUUAAUAAAUUAAACAUUUCUUUAAUUUAAAUCCAAAAGAUCAGAAUGAUCUGUUAAAUGUAUGCCCUUGUAAAAAGAAGAUCUAGAUAGGCUUCCCUAUGUCGAACACAUCGAACUUGUAUAUUAAACACUCUAAAAAAGAAAUAAUACACGCCCUAAAAAUUAAUUAUAUGCCGAAUCAAAACAAGCAUAGUAGAUAGCAUUUCAUGGUAUAAUAAUUGUUUUAUGAUUAUGAUCCGUUCAUUUAUAAAAUGCAUUUUCUUAUGUUAAAAAAAAAAAUGAUUGAUCCGCCUCUCUCUACACAUAAUAUGCGUCAAAAUUUACAAUAUGACGUCACAUCAACAAAUGCACCGCGAUCAGUCUGUUGUUUAUAUUUAUCGUUGUUGGACUUAUUUGACUACAAAGUUGCAAGCAUAGGUAAUUUUUAAUCUAGUUUAAUGCUUUCGUACCCAUAACAAGUGGAAAUUACUUAAUUAAUUAGCAUUUUUGACGACUUGUUGUUUUGUGUAUUGUCAUAGUAAACAUUUCCCGUAUUUUCUGGUCGGCGCAACCACAGAGUAAACCUUAACAGUGCUGCGAACUUUACUUUUUUUAAAAAUUGUGAUCCAGUCCUUAGAAUAGGGAUAUAAAAUGGACCAUGAUAACUAAAUCUCUUGUGUUGAAUUGUAUCAUUGACUUUUUAAAAAAAUAUUUUGAAUAAUAUCAAGUUAUACUU